UUUUAUUAGUUUUUUUUUUUCGGGCAGUCAGAUUGAAGCGAAACUGAUGAACGGGAUGCAUUACACAUGCAAGUCGAACGGCAGCACGGACUUCGGUGUGGUGGCGAGUGGCGAACGGGUGAGUAAUGUAUCGGAACGUGCCUAGUAGCGGGGGAUAACUACGCGAAAGCGUAGCUUAAUACUGCAUACGCCCUUCGGGGGAAAGCAGGGGAUCGCAAGACCUUGCACUAUUAGAGCGGCCGAUAUCGGAUUAGCUAGUUGGUGGGGUAACGGCUCACCAAGGCGACGAUCUGUAGCUGGUUUGAGAGGACGACCAGCCACACUGGGAGUGAGACACGGCCCAGACUCCUACGGGAGGCAGCAGUGGGGAAUUUUGGACAAUGGGGGAAACCCUGAUCCAGCCAUCCCGCGUGUGCGAUGAAGGCCUUCGGGUUGUAAAGCACUUUUGGCAGGAAAGAAACGUCCCGGGUUAAUACCCUGGGAAACUGACGGUACCUGCAGAAUAAGCACCGGCUAACUACGUGCCAGCAGCCGCGGUAAUACGUAGGGUGCAAGCGUUAAUCGGAAUUACUGGGCGUAAAGCGUGCGCAGGCGGUUCGGAAAGAAAGAUGUGAAAUCCCAGAGCUUAACUUUGGAACUGCAUUUUUAACUACCGAGCUAGAGUGUGUCAGAGGGAGGUGGAAUUCCGCGUGUAGCAGUGAAAUGCGUAGAUAUGCGGAGGAACACCGAUGGCGAAGGCAGCUUCCUGGGAUAACACUGACGCUCAUGCACGAAAGCGUGGGGAGCAAACAGGAUUAGAUACCCUGGUAGUCCACGCCCUAAACGAUGUCAACUAGCUGUUGGGGCCUUCGGGCCUUGGUAGCGCAGCUAACGCGUGAAGUUGACCGCCUGGGGAGUACGGUCGCAAGAUCUAAAAUCAGAGUGGU
rnacentral:rRNA from 1 species